CCCAAGGCCCUCGCGGACCUGAUCAGUGACGCAGAAGUUGAGGUGAAGGAAGCCAAAGAACAGGAGGCACGGGAUCAGCUCAAGCAGGAUGCAGUGGACAAAGCAG
rnacentral:rRNA from 1 species